AACGAACGCUGGCGGCGCGCUUAACACAUGCAAGUCGAACGAGAAGGCGUAGCAAUACGCUUGUACAGUGGCGAACGGGUGAGUAAUACGUGGGCGACCUACCCUCGAGUGGGGAAGUAACCCGCCGAAAGGCGGGCGUAAUGCCGCGUACGCUUCCAUCUUUAUGGAGGUGGAAGGAAAGCCGUGCCGUGGGCACGGCGCUCAAGGAUGGGCUCACGUCCUAUCAGCUUGUUGGAGGGUUAACGGCCUACCAAGGCUCCGACGGGUAGCUGGUCUGAGAGGACGAUCAGCCACACUGGCACUGCGACACGGGCCAGACUCCUACGGGAGGCAGCAGUGAGGAAUAUUGCGCAAUGGGCGAAAGCCUGACGCAGCGACGCCGCGUGGGGGAUGAAGGUCUUCGGAUUGUAAACCCCUUUCGGG
rnacentral:rRNA from 1 species